AGUUCGGAUUGGAGUCUGCAACUCGACUCCAUGAAGCUGGAUUCGCUAGUAAUCGCGCAUCAGCCAUGGCGCGGUGAAUACGUUCCCGGGCCUUGUACACACCGCCCGUCAAGCCAUGGGAGUCGGGAGUGCCUGAAGUUCGUGACCGUCACAGGAGCGACCUAAGGCAAGACCGAUGACUGGGGCUAAGUCGUAACAAGGUAGC
rnacentral:rRNA from 1 species